rnacentral:rRNA from 1 species
UACGUAGGUGUCGAGCGUUGUCCGGAUUUAUUGGGCGUAAAGAGCCCGCAGGCGGCUUGCCAAGUUCGAAGUGAAAUCUCCCGGCUCAACUGGGAGGGUGCUUCGAAAACUGGCAGGCUUGAGGCAGGGAGAGGGAUGUGGAAUUCCCGGUGUAGUGGUGAAAUGCGUAGAUAUCGGGAGGAACACCAGUGGCGAAGGCGGCAUCCUGGCCCUGUCCUGACGCUCAGGGGCGAAAGCGUGGGGAGCAAACCGGAUUAGAAACCCCCGUAGUCC